rnacentral:rRNA from 1 species
UACGUAGGGUGCAGGCGUUAAUCGGAAUUACUGGGCGUAAAGCGUGCGCAGGCGGCUCCUUAAGUCAGAUGUGAAAGCCCCGGGCUUAACCUGGGAACUGCGUUUGAAACUGGGGGGCUAGAGUGUGGAAGAGGGGGGUGGAAUUCCAGGUGUAGCAGUGAAAUGCGCAGAUAUCAGGAGGAACACCCGUAGCGAAGGCGGCACUCUGGGCCGGAACUGACGCUGAGGAGCGAAAGCGUGGGGAGCGAACAGG